GCCCAGACUCCUACGGGAGGCAGCAGUGAGGAAUAUUGGUCAAUGGGCGAGAGCCUGAACCAGCCAAGUCGCGUGAGGGAGUACUGCCCUAUGGGUUGUAAACCUCUUUUGUCGGGGAGCAAAAGCCGGACGUGUCCGGCUGUGAGAGUACCCGAAGAAAAAGCAUCGGCUAACUACGUGCCAGCAGCCGCGGUCAUACGUAGGAUCCGAGCAUUAUCCGGAGUGACUGGGUGUAAAGAGUUGCGUAGGUGGCAUAAUAAGUAGCUAGUGAAAUCUGGUGGCUCAACCAUUCAGACUAUUAGCUAAACUGUUAAGCUCGAGACCGUUAGGGGUAACUGGAAUUUCUAGUGUAGGAGUGAAAUCCGUAGAUAUUAGAAGGAACACCAAUAGCGUAGGCAGGUUGCUGGGACGGUUCUGACACUAAGGCACGAAAGCGUAGGGAGCAAACGGGAUUAGAUACCCGGGUACG
rnacentral:rRNA from 1 species